CAAGGGCCUCACACAUGGCCAAGAAUGUGAACAAGGCUUGGAGUUGUUGCAACUCACGUGCUUGGCUUCGUGUGAAAGGUCUCGAGCUAGGAAUUCCCGUAUCAUCCUCUCCAUCUUGAAGGGAAUUUGUCCUCAAAUUCGGAUCAUUGCCAUCCUCCACCGUUUCCACCCGAGAGAGAUCACACACGUUGAAAGUGUUGUGCACUUGAUAUUUCGGGGGUAGAUCAAUUAUGUAGGCAUUGACGUUGAUCCUUUCUAAUACUUGGAAC
rnacentral:lncRNA from 1 species